AAAACAAUAACGAAAAAAAAAAAAAAAAAAAAAUGUAAGAAAAGAAAAGCAUAAUUUUAUGAAGUAGAAAAACUGGAACAAAACUUACUCUUCUCCGUCGCUCUGGCAAAUGGUGACAUGACCGUCGCGAAUAAUAAUAAUAAUAAAGUAAAAACAGAAUAAAAAAAAAAAAAUACAAAAGCUUAUUAGCAUUACAUUAAACAAAGUAACAAAAGUUAUGGAGACGCGAGAUAGAGAGACAAAAACACGCACACACAUCUACAUCUACAAAUGGAAUUUAUAGUAGAUGAGACAGUAACUAAAUGAAGCUUGAAAUCGCUGCGCGAUAUAGUUUUUUUUAUUAUACUUGAUAACAAGAUUGUUUUGACUCCUGCGAAAUAAUGGCUGACCAUUGUACGUUAAUAUGUCCUUCAAGUUUAUAUUUAGUAAAGCGUCAUCAUAAUAUAUAUAUAAUAACUUUUAAAACACACAUGCAAACGUAAAAAAUGCAAUUAAACUCAAUUAAGUUCAUCAUCAUCAUCAUCAUGAUCUUUAUCAUAAGCAUUAUCAUUAGCAUUAAUAAUAUCGUAAGGAUGUGAAGAUAAAUUCAAAUUCAAUUAGCAAAGGCAUCUACCAUCUCUCUUAGCAUAGCUGUGUAAACGUCCUAAGAUUAAAAACUCUAUUAAGUAGUUAUAAUUAGAAGGCAGACAGAUUUGAAAGCCUGCUCCGUCUAAAUUAGAAAUCGUGUAGACAUUGAUUUUCUUGGCCGCUUCGUGAAUUUAUAUGAAAGCACCUUUCAAACGAGCUUAACGAAUACAAAUCGUAUUUGUAGGAAGUACUUCUAACAAUUUCUUGAAAUUUGGUAUGUGACC